CCUACGGGUGGCAGCAGUGGGGAAUAUUGGACAAUGGGGGGAACCCUGAUCCAGCCAUGCCGCGUGUGUGAAGAAGGCCCUCGGGUUGUAAAGCACUUUCAGUGAGGAAGAACGCCUGGUGGUUAAUACCCAUCAGGAAAGACAUCACUCACAGAAGAAGCACCGGCUAACUCCGUGCCAGCAGCCGCGGUAAUACAGAGGGUGCGAGCGUUAAUCGGAAUUACUGGGCGUAAAGCGCGCGUAGGUGGCUUGAUAAGCCGGUUGUGAAAGCCCCGGGCUCAACCUGGGAACGGCAUCCGGAACUGUCAAGCUAGAGUGCAGGAGAGGAAGGUAGAAUUCCCGGUGUAGCGGUGAAAUGCGUAGAGAUCGGGAGGAAUACCAGUGGCGAAGGCGGCCUUCUGGACUGACACUGACACUGAGGUGCGAAAGCGUGGGUAGCAAACAGGAUUAGAUACCCGAGUAGUC
rnacentral:rRNA from 1 species